rnacentral:rRNA from 1 species
GACGAACGCUGGCGGCGUGCCUAAUACAUGCAAGUCGAACGCAGUGGGGACGGGUGCGUAACACGUGGGUAACCUCCCAUCAGAGGGGAUAACACUUGGCAACAGGUGCUAAACCGAUACUGAUGGAUGGACUCGCGGUGCAUUAGCUAGUGGGUGAGGUAACGGCUCACCAAGGCCACGAUGCAUCGCCGACCUGAGAGGGUGGUCGGCAACACUGGGACUGAUACACGGCCGAGACGCCUACGGGAGGCAGAAGUAGGGAAUCUUCGGCAAUGGAGGAAAGUCUGGCCGAGCAACGCCGCGUGAGGGAAGAAGGUUUUCGGAUCGUAAAACGCUGUUGUUAGAGAAGCGGUAUCUAACCAGAAAGCCACGGCUAACUACGUGCCAGCAGCCGCGGUAAUUC